rnacentral:tRNA from 1 species
GGGCUGCUAGCUCAGGGGUAGAGCAUCUGACUUUUAAUCAGGGGGUCGUUGGUUCAAAUCCAACGCGGCUCA